rnacentral:rRNA from 1 species
UACGUAGGGUGCGAGCGUUGUCCGGAAUUAUUGGGCGUAAAGGGCUCGUAGGCGGUUUGUCGCGUCGGGAGUGAAAACCCAGGGCUUAACCCUGGGCUGGCUUCCGAUACGGGCAGACUAGAGGUAUGCAGGGGAGAACGGAAUUCCUGGUGUAGCGGUGAAAUGCGUAGAGAUCCGGCGGAACACCGGUGGUGAAGGCGGUCUCCUGGGCCGAGGGCCGACGCUGAGGCGCGAGAGCGUGGGGAGCGAACCGG